GAUUAACGCUGGCGGCGUGCCUAACACAUGCAAGUCGAACGAUGAAACUUAACUGAUUUCUUCUGAAUUAUUUUAAGUGGGUUAGUGGCGGACUGGUGAGUAACGCGUGAGUAACCUGCCUUUGAGAAGGGGAUAGCCUAUGGAAACGAAGAAUAAUACCCUAUGCUAUGAUAAUAGCUCAUGAUAUUAUCAUCAAAGAUUUAUCGCUAUAAGAUGGACUUUCGUCUGAUGAGUUAGGUGGUGCGGUAACAGCUCACCAAGGCAGCGAUCAGUAGCCGGCUUGGAAGAGUGUACGGCAACACUGGGACUGAGACACGGGCCAGACUCCUACGAGAGGCAGCAGGGGGGAAUUAUGCACAAUGGGUGUAUCAAUGAUGCCGCGACGCUGUGUGAUUGAGAAGGCCGUCGGGUUGUAAGAAUCUUUUGUAUGGGAAGAAAAUGACAGUACCAUACGAAUAAGGACCGGCUAAUUACGUG
rnacentral:rRNA from 1 species